GGGUGCGGGGCAGCAGAGCUGUGCCCUGCGGGCAGGAGGCCUCCACCAGCCGUGGUGGCUGCAUCGGUGCCUUCUCCUCCCUUACAGACGGGAAGGGCUGGGCAAGAUGAAAAGGGAGAUGAGACACCACAGCACUCUGCGUGCUGCAGAGGGGCAAGCAGGGGAAGCCUGGGCUGAGGUGUGAACAGGGCCUUUUCCUCGCGACCGCUGGAAUUUGGCUUCACCUCAGCUAUCAAUAAAGACCAAGCUUUUUGAUUCCUUUGUACAUGAAAAGAAAUGAAGAAAAUAAUGUAUUCCAGAACAGUUCAGCUUCUCUUAAGAUUUAUUACCAGGGAGAUGGAGCCUUGCUAAUUGGCUUUUGUUAUGCAGCACGGAGCGUGCUGGUGCUGAAGAGCUUUCUGCUGGCACCUGGUACCUGCGGCCCUGCAGCCACGACAGCGCCGUACUGAGGCAUGCUCUUAGAGCUCAGCUUCCCCGUGGCUACCCCCAGCACUGCCUCGACAUAAUGAAGUAUUAGCAUAAUUAAAUGAAGUUGAAAGAAGUGAAAGAACGGGUAGAGUGCUACUGCUCUGCUUGUGAUCUCUUGAGCCAGCAAAGGAAAGCAAAUAAUUUUUACAAAACAAACUUUGAUCUUGAAUUGGUUUCUUUCUUCUUUUCUUUGUGUCUUUCUGGGCAAUGGAAACAGCCCAGAACACCUCACUACAGCUCCCAGAAGCCUGGGCAGUUGUACAGGACUUUUUCCUGGGAAAAAUCAGUAUGGUCUGCCUGCAGCAUCACAGACGAGAUGCUUGUGUGCAUCCCUGCUACGCGAAACCUCAGAGCAUGGCUUACAUUGGCACAGGCAAACAAGUAGAGCUGCUUAAAAUAUUUUCAGAAAAAUGUGCUGUUCUGAAAAAGCCACAGUGUAUUACGAAGAGACACAGUUGUUGGAAGGAGCAGAGUUGUCAUGGUUGCUGUGAGGGGCAUCUAGCAGAACUGGCUGGGGGUGCAGGGGAGCCAGCAGACACGAGGUGGUGGCCAGGUUGGGGGGCAGAGGCCAGCCCCUUGAGGGAGCUGGGGGCAUUUGGGAAUGCAUGGUGGGUCUGGAAAGAAGCAAUGGCUGGGAAAAAGGGCACAAGAGAGCAUGGUGAAAUGUGCAAAAAUGAGUAACUUGUCAUUUCAGAAGUGAAUGAUUCAACUUCUAUUCUCAGAAGACCAACAGUUCAAAACUGGUCUAACUAAGAAAAAACAGAACAAAGAGGGGUGUAACAAAUUGUUAUUAAUUUUGUUGUCAUUUGAAGUGAAACAUUGCUGUCAUUUCAGGUCAGACAAAAUGAGAUUUGUAGUUUCACAUAAAAAAGGG
rnacentral:lncRNA from 1 species